UACGUAGGUGGCGAGCGUUAUCCGGAUUUACUGGGUGUAAAGGGUGAGUAGGCGGGAAGUCAAGUCAGAUGUGAAAUGCCGCGGCUUAACUGCGGAACUGCAUUUGAAACUGAUUUUCUUGAGAGUCGGAGAGGCAAUCGGAAUUCCUAGUGUAGCGGUGAAAUGCGUAGAUAUUAGGAGGAACACCAGUGGCGAAGGCGGAUUGCUGGACGACAACUGACGCUGAGACACGAAAGCGUGGGGAGCAAACAGG
rnacentral:rRNA from 1 species